ensembl:lncRNA novel transcript
GAGGUCCGCUCGUCAACGGCUAGUCAACGGCUGCGGGGACAAGUCCGUUGAGGCUGCCAGGCGAGUCAGGCCUUUCUGGACCUCGCCUGACUCGGAUGGGCUGUGCCUGAAAUUGACCCAGCUCCACUAGGGAUUAUGAAGAAACAAGGAGUAAACCCAAAGCCGCUGCAAUCUUCCCGCCCCAGCCCGUCUAAGCGGCCGUACGGGGCCUCCCCCGCCCGGGAGCUGGAGGUGGAAAAGUCGGCCCUAGGCGGCGGGAAACUGCCAGGGGGCGCCAGGAGGUCCUCCCCGGGGAGGAUCCCAAAUCUGAAAAAGCGAAAAGGCUUGGAGCUAAAGGUGGUGGCCAAGACCCUUCUCGACCCCUUCCAGUUCGUCCGUAAUUCCCUGGCGCAGCUCCGGGAAGAGGUGCACGAACUGCAGGCGCGGUGGUUCCCCAGCAGAACCACUCUCAGCAUCGGGACUUUAUUAUUCCUACUUCAAGACCAUCAUUGAAGCACCUUCAUUUUUGGAAGGACUGUGGAUGAUUAUGAAUGACAGGCUUACUGAAUAUCCUCUUGUAAUUAAUACAGUAAAACGCUUCCAUCUUUAUCCAGAGGUAAUCAUAGCUGCCUGGUAUCGCACAUUCAUAGGAAUAAUGAAUUUAUUUGGACUAGAAACUAAGACCUGCUGGAAUGUCACCAGAAUAGAACCUCUUAAUGAGUUCAAAGCUGUGAAGGAUUGGGAGAUCCUGCUUGCUUUUAUGUUGGUGUAAUCUUUAUUUUAAAUGGACUAAUGAUGGGAUUGUUCUUCAUGUAUGGAGCAUACCUGAGUGGGACUCAACUGGGAGGUCUUAUUACAGUACUGUGCUUCUUUUUCAACCAUGGAGAGGUUUGUUUUCUAGAAAGCAAUUUUUAAGAAAUAGAAGAGGCUGUAGAGGAACAAGGAAAUAUACUCAUCAAAACAAUAUUUAAUUGUAUACUACUUAUGACUUCACAAUAUUUUAAAGACCCUCGUGUUGCCACCCGUGUGAUGUGGACACCACCUCUCCAUGAAAGUUUUUCCUAUCCUUUCCUUGUACUUCAGAUGUAUAUUUUAACUUUGAUUCUCAGGACCUCAAGCAAUGAUAGAAGGCCCUUCAUUGCACUCUGUCUUUCCAAUGUUGCUUUUAUGCUUCCCUGGCAAUUUGCUCAGUUUAUACUUUUUACACAGAUAGCAUCAUUAUUUCCCAUGUAUGUUGUGGGAUACAUUGAACCAAGCAAAUUUCAGAAGAUCAUUUAUAUGAACAUGAUUUCAGUUACCCUUAGUUUCAUUUUGAUGUUUGGAAAUUCAAUGUACUUAUCUUCUUCUUAUUCUUCAUCUUUGUUAAUGACGUGGGCAAUAAUUCUAAAGAGAAAUGAAAUUCAAAAACUGGGAGUAUCUAAACUCAACUUUUGGCUAAUUCAAGGUAGUGCCUGGUGGUGUGGAACAAUCAUUUUGAAAUUUCUGACAUCUAAAAUCUUAGGCGUUUCAGACCACAUUCGCCUGAGUGAUCUUAUAGCAGCCAGAAUCUUAAGGUAUACAGAUUUUGAUACUUUAAUAUACACCUGUGCUCCCGAAUUUGACUUCAUGGAAAAAGCGACUCCACUGAGAUACACAAAGACAUUAUUGCUUCCAGUUGUUAUGGUGAUUACAUGUUUUAUCUUUAAAAAGACUGUUCGUGAUAUUUCGUGUGUUUUAGCUACAAACAUUUAUCUAAGUGUUCACAGCAUGUUCACCAGGAGUAGAUUCUAUCUCAAGAAACCACUGUCUUUGCUUAUCCAUAAGAAGCAACUCCUCAUCCAUUAAAGUUUUAUCAUGAGAUUGCAGCAAUUCAGUCACGUCUUCAGGCUCUACUUCUAAUUCAAGUUCUCUUGCUGUUUCCACCACAUCUGCAGUGACUUCCUCUGCUGAAGUCUUGGACCCCUCAGAGUCACCCAUGAGGGUUGGAAUCAUUUUUAAUAUUAUAUGAGAAGAAAACAUUCUAAGAAAAUGACAGAUAAAGUAGAAAAUAAGUUGGAA